rnacentral:rRNA from 1 species
CAUUUUAGUUUGCUUGCAACUGAAGAUGGCGACCGGCGCACGGGUGAGUAACACGUAUCCAUCCUGCCGAUAACUCCGGAAUAGCCUUUCGAAAGAAAGAUUAAUACCGGAUAGCAUACGAAUAUCGCAUGAUAUUUUUAUUAAAGAAUUUCGGUUAUCGAUGGGGAUGCGUUUCAUUAGUUUGUUGGCGGGGUAACGGCCCACCAAGACUACGAUGGAUAGGGGUUCUGAGAGGAAGGUCCCCCACAUUGGAACUGAGACACGGUCCAAACUCCUACGGGAGGCAGCAGUGAGGAAUAUUGGUCAAUGGGCGAGAGCCUGAACCAGCCAAGUAGCGUGAAGGAUGAAGGCUCUAUGGGUCGUAAACUUCUUUUAUAUGGGAAUAAAGUUUUCCACGUGUGGAAUUUUGUAUGUACCAUAUGAAUAAGGAUCGGCUAACUCCGUGCCAGCAGCCGCGGUAAUACGGAGGAUCCGAGCGUUAUCCGGAUUUAUUGGGUUUAAAGGGAGCGUAGGUGGAUUGUUAAGUCAGUUGUGAAAGUUUGCGGCUCAACCGUAAAAUUGCAGUUGAAACUGGCAGUCUUGAGUACAGUAGAGGUGGGCGGAAUUCGUGGUGUAGCGGUGAAAUGCUUAGAUAUCACGAAGAACUCCGAUUG